CAAACAACAAGGACGCGCGAGGCGUGGUUCGUGGUAUAUGCAAAUCUUGUGACUGCUUGGAAUUUUAUCGAAACGACAGCGGCGCCCCUCUCAUAUCCGGAUGGUGCGCUUACUGCGGGCAUUCGCCAUCGGAGCAUGCCGCGCUUGACCUACUUGGUGAAGGUAAUCUAAAUGCAAGCGGCGUGCAGCCAUCUUUUCGGGACUUGGCAAAAAUCGGGGGCGGAGCUGGCCCUGAAUCAGGUGUCGCAUCGGCAGACGAGCCCAGCACUGAGUACACCCAGCAGGCCACCGGAAAUUCUACUCCCCACACAGAAGGGACUACAUCAGCUACCCAGGCUACAAGCAUGCCAACCAUGCCAUUUUCAAUUUUCAAGCGCGUGGUAGCCAGUCUUCGCUGUUCUCGUCUUCUUUUGUUUUGUUGUGUAACAUCACCGGAUGUGGCAAAGGGUUUGCCACUUAUUGUUUUCUUCGUACUCCAUGAUACCUACCUGUCCUCGACAUUGCUGUGAUAUGGAGAUUUCUUGUGUUUCGUACACUGGCCCAGUUGAGAAGUAUCAACUGCUAGUCAUUAUGGAGCCGCUCACUUUCGUUUAACUGCAAGCGCAACUUGUUGGUCGUAUUUUUCUCCAAUGUUAUUGUUUUAACGGUGACAGGUAUCAACUGCUGGUCAUUAUGGAGCCGCUAACAUUCGUUUAACAGCCCAACUCCAUGGCCGUAUUUUUCUCCAGUGUUAUUGUUUUGACGUUGGCAGGUAUCAACUGCUGGUUAUUAUGGAGUACCUCACUUUCGUUUUAACACAUUUUUGUUAUAACUUUUAACACGGCUGCUUGGUCGUAUUUUUCUCCAAUGUUAUUAUUUUACUGUUGACAAGUACCUGCUCCCGGUCAUUAUGGACCAGCUUGCUUUAGUUUAACCGUUUGCACAGCUUCCGGGUGGUAUUUUUCUCCAAUGUUGUUCUACUGUGUGCAAUAUUUGAUUGUCUCAGCGUGUCUUGCAUUCAUUGCGUACGGUGCACAUUUCGAGAAGUAAAGUUGUCAUGCAUCUUCUUGUUA